rnacentral:rRNA from 1 species
UACAGAGGUCCCGAGCGUUGUUCGGAUUCAUUGGGCGUAAAGGGUGCGUAGGCGGCGGGGCAAGUCUGAUGUGAAAUCCCGAGGCUCAACCCCGGAACUGCAUUGGAUACUGCCUUGCUUGAGUACUGGAGAGGGAACUGGAAUUUACGGUGUAGCAGUGAAAUGCGUAGAUAUCGUAAGGAAGGCCAGUGGCGAAGGCGGCUGACUGGACAUGUAUUGACGCUGAGGUGCGAAAGCGUGGGGAGCGAACAGG